rnacentral:rRNA from 1 species
AGUUUGAUCAUGGCUCAGAUUGAACGCUGGCGGCAUGCCUUACACAUGCAAGUCGAACGGCAGCGCGGGGGCAACCUGGCGGCGAGUGGCGAACGGGUGAGUAAUAUAUCGGAACAUACCCUAGAGUGGGGGAUAACGUAGCGAAAGUUACGCUAAUACCGCAUACGAUCUAAGGAUGAAAGUGGGGGAUCUUCGGACCUCAUGCUCAUGGAGUGGCCGAUAUCUGAUUAGCUAGUUGGUGAGGUAAAGGCUCACCAAGGCGACGAUCAGUAGCUGGUUUGAGAGAACGACCAGCCACACUGGAACUGAGACACGGUCCAGACUCCUACGGGAGGCAGCAGUGGGGAAUUUUGGACAAUGGGGGCAACCCUGAUCCAGCAAUGCCGCGUGAGUGAAGAAGGCCUUCGGGUUGUAAAGCUCUUUUGUCAGGGAAGAAACGGUGAGUUCUAAUACAGCUUGCUAAUGACGGUACCUGAAGAAUAAGCACCGGCUAACUACGUG